GCGUCGGUGGUGCAACGGUUCAGCUUACGCCCCCGGAAAGAGUGAGACCUGAGUUCGAAUCCCGCCUGACACA